CAGAUUUGUGAAAAAUAAGCGGACAUGACUGGUGAAAUAUUGGUAAAGGGGUAAAGAGGACCGGCAGGUGAGGAAUUACGUUCCCCUCUCAACGACCUUUCUCUCCUUGCUGUACUUUACAUCCGGCAGGCAACGGAAGAGAAAAGUUAGAGAAAAUAAAGGAGAGGAAGAAGGUAGUUGUGAUGAGAAUUGCAGAGGUCUAGGGUUCUGAUCAGACUUGACCGACUAGCAUAUUUAAAGAGAAAACAUAUAAUACAUGAAAGUAAAUCUCUACAUAUAUAUGUAUGUAUGCAUGUAGAUAUGUAUGAAUAGAUGUACUCCAGCAAUCUCAAGGGUUUUAUUCUGGCGGUGGUCUCGAGCGCCUUCAUUGGCUCCAGCUUUAUCAUCAAGAAAAAGGGUCUUCGAAAGGCCGGGGUCAAUGGCCCCCGUGCCAGUUCUGGCGGAUAUGGCUACUUGUUGGAGCCACUCUGGUGGGUUGGCAUGAUUACUAUGAUAAUUGGGGAGAUUGCCAAUUUCGUUGCAUAUAUCUAUGCACCUGCUGUUUUGGUAACGCCUCUUGGUGCAUUGAGUAUCAUUGUUAGUGCCAUUUUAGCGCAUUUCAUUUUAAAGGAGAAACUGCAGAAAAUGGGAAUGUUAGGAUGUCUUUUGUGCAUAGUAGGUUCCACAGUGAUUGUGCUUCAUGCACCUGAGGAGCGUUCUAUUAAUUCAGUUGAAGAAAUUUGGGAAUUAGCUACCCAGCCAGCCUUUCUUUUGUAUACAGCUUCAGCAGUAGCUAUUGCAUUGGUACUAAUUUUGUAUUAUGCACCUCGUUGUGGUCAAACUAACAUAAUGGUGUAUAUUGGAAUAUGCUCAGUAAUUGGAUCAUUGACGGUGAUGAGCAUAAAAGCCAUUGGUAUUGCGAUAAAGCUAACAUUGGAGGGCACAAAUCAGGCGAAAUACUUCCAAACAUGGAUCUUUGCAAUGGUUGCAAUUACCUGUAUCAUCACUCAGUUAAAUUAUCUGAACAUGGCAUUGGAUACUUUCAACACGGCAAUUGUUUCUCCAAUUUAUUAUGCCUUGUUCACUUCUUUCACAAUUUUAGCGAGUGCAAUUGUUUAAGGACUAUUCUGGUCAAAGUGCUAGCAGCAUAGCAUCUGAACUUUGUGGUUUUAUCACCGUGUUAUCUGGGACAGCUGUAUUGCAUAGUACAAGAGAUCCAGAUACACCUCUUAUCACAGAUCUAUAUACGCCAUUAUCUCCUAAAGUUUCGUGGUACAUUCAAGGUAACGGGGAACUUUGGAAGCAGAAAGAUGAAGAUGGUUCAUCCCCUAGCUUUAUCACGACUCUCCGACAGGACUAUUUCAAGUAAAUAUACUACAAUUGGGCAUGUACGUUUCAGAUUUUGUCUGUCUCAUUGGUUGAGCAUUGAAAAUCACCAUAUGCUGGUGCAGGUCAAAGCGUUGGUAAUUUUUUGUUUUAGAUUUUCUUGUAAUUAGUUGAGGUUCACGAUUUUGGAAUGUCAAAUCAGAUAAUAAUUGAUGCUACAUUUUUGCAGUAGUCAGCUAAUGCUUUCUUCAAUAUGUGCAAUUUAGGCUUUUGUGUUUUAACCAGC